AUAUCGUUCCCAAUUUCUUCAUUCUUCAUAUCGUUCCCAAUUUCUUCCCUCGAGAACACACACAGCGCCGUUCGUCCCUAAUUUCUUCAUUCUUCAUCGUUCCCAAAUUUCUUCCCAAUUUCUUCCCAAAUCGCCAUCGUCCCUAAAGCGCCAUCGUCCCAAUUUCUUCAAUCAUUCUCCAAACCCUAGACGGCGACCCCUUUAUCAUUCUCCAAAUUUGCUUCAAUCUGCGGUGACAAGCUUCAAUCUGCGGUUACCAGUGGAGUUGGGUUGCUUCUGCUCGAUUUGUUUGGAUAGAAAGAGUUGGGUUGGUGUUUAGUUCCUCAAGGGGUGGAGCUGUUUUCUGUGUUAGGCGGUGGUUGCUGCUCCUGCGUGUUGCCUGCUGCUGUGCAGGGGCUGGUGUUGCUGUUUUUUGGUGUUGUCAUCUUUGUUUGAAGUUAGAAGGUUCAAUCACGGUCUCAUCUACAGGCUGUGAUCAAUAACUUGGAAGAUGCACAUGAAAUGAUUGAUACUGCAAUCUCAACAGCAUUGAAAGAGAGCAAGCCUGUUUAUAUAAGCAUAAGCUGUAACUUAGCAGGUGUUCCUCACCCGACUUUCAGUCGUGAACCUGUUCCAUUUUCCUUAACUCCAAAAUGGAGUAAUCAAAUCGGGUUGGAAGCCGCAGUGGAAGCAGCAGCUGAGUUUCUAAACAAAGCAGUAAAACCAGUCCUUGUAGCUGGUCCAAAAAUAAGAGUAGCAAAAGCAGGUGAUGCUUUUAUGGAAUUAGCUGAUAAAAGUGCUUUUAUGUGUUUUGAUGAAGGAUUUUCUUAGCGCGCUCGCGAAGCGUAUUAAGAAGAAUAAUACUGCUUAUGAAAAUUAUUAUAGGAUAUUUGUUCCUGAAGGUUUGCCUGUGAAAUCUCAGCCUAGAGAGCCUUUGAGGGUUAAUGUUCUUUGUAAACAUAUUCAAAAUAUGUUGUCUGGUGACACUGCUGUUAUCGCCGAGACAGGGGAUUCUUGGUUUAACUGCCAAAAGCUGAAAUUGCCAAAAGGAUGCGGGGCAUUGAAACAUGUUCAGUUUAAUCGAGCUGUUCAUAUACUAAAUUCAGUUACGAAUUUCAUUGGAAAGAGGAAUGCAGUCUAGAAAAUUGGGAAUAGGAUAUUCAAUGUAUUGUAGUAGGAAGGGAAUGGGGUGUGGCUUAUUUGGUGGCCAGCCUUAUGGCUGGUUCUUUACAAGGUUACAUUAGAGUUAUAAUGCCUAGUUUUACAACUAAGGUUAUAUGUUAUACGGAUAGUUUUUUCAACUGCGAUGAUUGAAAAAAUUGCUUAAAUUAUUCAAAAGUCAUGUAUCAUGGAUAUAUUACUUCUUUAAUUUGUUCUUUGUGUUUUUUGGAUUUACCCCUA